AGCGUAGCAGAAAGAGAAAGUAGGUCAAUGUACAGUUGCCCUUGCAGGGGGAGAGUGGAGAGAGAAUGAGGCAGAAACAGGCUCUGAAGAAAUUGCUGAAAGCCGUGAACAUGUCAAAGCAUGCGUUCCAGACGCCAGAGUCACUGUGGGUCCCAAACACAAGGAGUUCAAACAAGCCACACUCCUCAGACAUGCACAGUACCACACACCAGUGGUGAUCAUGUGACAAACUCCUCAGGCAGGCCAGGGACAAAGCCGUUGUUACCACAAGCAAUAAUUAGGGACAGUUGAUUUUCAGGAAGGAGCAGAGAACCCAUAAAACAUUGGUAUGCUGGGGCCGGGGCUGGGGCUCAGGUAGAGCCUCGCCUUGCACAUGCGAGACCCUGGGUCGAUCCUCAGCACCACAUAAAAAUAAAUAAACAAAAUAAAGAUAUAAGAAAAAUAAAAAAUUGGAAUGCUGCUGCUAAGUGCCAUAGGCUAGAAGGACUCCGACUUUGAAUUUUACCCAGCCAGUCUGGAAUCGUGACUUCAUAAAGUACCGCCAGUGUUCAGAGGGCCUUGAAGUGCAUGUCCGCCUCUGUCAGCUGGCACACACCGGGUGCCAGAGACGGAGAUCCCAGAGCCAGGUGUCGUGGCCAGCAGGAAGCUUCUGAGGGUCAUUGUCCAGAUGGCAGAAGACCAGCUGGCUCUCUGGCCUGCUCUUGUGAGGGCACUGAUUCUGCUUGUAAGGACUCCACCCUCAUAACCUCGACAGGGUGCUGAGACACCGUCAUCUUGAGUGCUUCAUGUUUCCUGAAGUAAAGCAGAACACACAGGUCUCACGUGGCCACCACCUUGGAGAUAGCAGGCCAUUUCCCAAUGCUGUGGCAGGGAACUAGGCUUCAGCACCGAAAUAUGGGGACUACAGACCUUCAGCUCAUAACCAAUAACAUGUGAUCUGUGAGCUGGUAAACGGAUAGUAUGUGUUCCAUGUUCUUCACAUUUUAAGAGGAAAAGGACUGAUUUAAGUGUGAAUUUUCUAAAUUAAAGAUGCAUGUUUUGAUCUCAAAUAUAACCAGUAAAAGAAUAGUAAAAGAACAUGAUCUCCAAGUUAAAAGUGAAAUAAAUAAAUAAAUAAAUAAAAGGAAGGACCAAAAGCAACAAAUCAAUUCAACAGAAUGUGAAUGGAAAAGAAAAAUGUAGAGCAGGUGAGACAAACAGGAAGCAGUCAAUAACUGGGUAGAUUCUAACCUAAAUAUAUCAAUAAUUACAUGACAUGUAAAUAGAACAAAUAAUCAUAAGGCAAAAAUUAAAACCCCAAACUAUUAUUUGUGGCUUCUAAGAGAUGUGAGACAUAUAAAGGUAAGAAAACCGGAAGGAAAGGAGAAAAACUGUGUAUCUAUUCAAACAGAAAGCCUCACCACAGAUUUUGAGACAGAAUGCCCUGCUGAAGACAGAGAUCAAAGUAUAAUCUGCUGGAAGCCCCCGGAGGUGGGCCUGUACCCAGGGGCCUGCGUGGCACCCCCCGGAGGUGGGCUGUAGCACAGGGAUGAGCCUGGCACCCCCGGAGGUGGGCCUAUCCUACAGACCUAUGCUCCAGAUAACCUAGCUUCAAACUUAAAGAAAACGGGGAAAGGACUUCAAAAACAGCAAUGGGAUUUUUUUUGCACAGCACCUGGGAGAAGUAAUUUAAAGUAUCUCAUAGUUUAAUAAAUCAGGCCUAACAUAUGAAAAAUACUCCCCAACACGUGAAAAACAGUUUUUCCAACUACAUAUGAAAUAGUAACCAAAACUUGACAGGUUUUGGGCCAUAAAACAUGGAACAGAUUUUGAAAGACUGAAAUAAAAUAAAAUGUUUUUCUGAUCACAGUUCUAUUCAGUUAGAAGAAAUCAAGAGAAGAAAAAGAUAAAACUAGAUAAAUCCUUUGGAUUUAGAAUUUAAGGAAUCUAUUUCUGUACUAACUGUAUAUUUGUUGGUUUCAAUGAAUUAUUAUAAUUUUUAAUGUAUAAAAUGCAAGUGUGGUUAUAUUUGUAUAAGAGUUCUUUCAGUCACACAUGCUGAAAUAGUU
rnacentral:lncRNA from 1 species